rnacentral:rRNA from 1 species
UACGGAGGGUGCAAGCGUUGUUCGGAAUUACUGGGCGUAAAGCGCGCGUAGGCGGCUCUUUAAGUCUCACUGUGAAAGACCGGGGCUCAACCCCGUGCGAGCAGGGGAUACUGGAGAGCUGGAGACCGGUAGAGGCCAGCGGAAUUUCGGGUGUAGCGGUGGAAUGCGUAGAGAUCCAAAAGAACACCGGAGGCGAAGGCGGCUGGCUGGGCCUGAUCUGACGCUGAGGUGCGAAAGCGUGGGGAGCGAACAGG